rnacentral:rRNA from 1 species
AGAGUUUGAUCCUGGCUCAGGAUGAACGCUAGCUACAGGCUUAACACAUGCAAGUCGAGGGGAAACGACAUCGAAAGCUUGCUUUUGAUGGGCGUCGACCGGCGCACGGGUGAGUAACGCGUAUCCAACCUGCCCAUCACUUGGGGAUAACCUUGCGAAAGUAAGACUAAUACCCAAUGACGUCUCUAGAAGACAUCUGAAAGAGAUUAAAGAUUUAAUCGGUGAUGGAUGGGGAUGCGUCUGAUUAGCUUGUUGGCGGGGUAACGGCCCACAAGGCGACGAUCAGUAGGGGUUCUGAGAGGAAGGUCCCCCANAUUGGAACUGAGACACGGUCCAAACUCCUACGGGAGGCA